rnacentral:rRNA from 1 species
UACGGAGGGUGCAAGCGUUAUCCGGAUUCACUGGGUUUAAAGGGUGCGUAGGUGGGCAGGUAAGUCAGUGGUGAAAUCUCCGGGCUUAACUCGGAAACUGCCAUUGAUACUAUCUGUCUUGAAUACCGUGGAGGUUAGCGGAAUAUGUCAUGUAGCGGUGAAAUGCUUAGAUAUGAUACAGAACACCAAUUGCGAAGGCAGGUGACUAAGCCGUAACUGACGCUGAGGCUCGAAAGCGUGGGGAUCAAACAGG